AGUAACGCGUGGGAACCUACCCAGUAGUACGGAAUAACUCAGGGAAACUUGUGCUAAUACCGUAUAAGCCCUUCGGGGGAAAGAUUUAUCGCCAUUGGAUGAGCCCGCGUUAGAUUAGUUUGUUGGUGGGGUAAUGGCCUACCAAGACUACGAUCUAUAGCUGGUCUGAGAGGAUGAUCAGCCACACUGGGACUGAGACACGGCCCAGACUCCGUACGGGAGGCAGCAGGUGGGGAAUAUUGCACAAGUGGGCGCAAGCCUGAUGCAGCCAUGCCGCGUGAGUGAAGAAGGCCGUUAGGGUUAGUAAAACUUCUUUCACCGGUGAAGAUAAUGACGGUACGACCGGUAAAGAACGCCCCGGCUAACUCCGUG
rnacentral:rRNA from 1 species